rnacentral:ncRNA from 1 species
GUGUUGUGUGAAAGGAGAAGUUAGUGCUCUCCUUGAUAAAGAUGAAAGAGGUUCUAGUGACUUUUAUGAUACACUACUGACAAAAUUGU